rnacentral:misc_RNA from 1 species
GAUGAUUGCAGGCAGGAGCAUCUUGCUGUGCAACUUAUUUCUCAUUUUUAUGGUAGGUGCUUGUAGAUAAUAUUGGUCUUCAUGGCUAAUUGAUCAAUACUUUCAGUCUGAAAGUUGCCAUUGUUUUGCUGCAUCCUUUACUGCUAAAUUGUGCAAGAAUUGCAAUAGUGUGUUCUUGGGGAAAUGCGAGGAACUUGUUGAUGUAGAACCAGGAAAUUAGAUAUCAAAGGAAACAAAUUCCUUGAAAAAGAGAAACAAAUUCUCUAGAGAACAAUGAGAAACAAAUUCUCAGGAAUAAGGAGAAACUAAUUCUCAAAUAAACUUUAUUGAAUCUCAAUUGUAAUCAUAAUCAAGUUACUGAUAAUAAAAAACCUGGAACCAUUAGUAGAAUUUUUAGAAACCCUAAUUCAUAUCUAAU